GAUGGACGCUGGCGGCGUGCCUAAUACAUGCAAGUCGAGCGAACAGACGAGGAGCUUGCUCCUCUGACGUUAGCGGCGGACGGGUGAGUAACACGUGGAUAACCUACCUAUAAGACUGGGAUAACUUCGGGAAACCGGAGCUAAUACCGGAUAAUAUAUUGAACCGCAUGGUUCAAUAGUGAAAGACGGUUUUGCUGUCACUUAUAGAUGGAUCCGCGCCGCAUUAGCUAGUUGGUAAGGUAACGGCUUACCAAGGCGACGAUGCGUAGCCGACCUGAGAGGGUGAUCGGCCACCCUGGAACUGAGACCCGGCCCAGCCUCCUACGGGAGCAGCAGUAGGGAAUCUUCCGCAAAGGGCGAAAGCCUGACGGAGCAACGCCGCGUGAGUGAUGAAGGUCUUCGGAUCGUAAAACUCUGUUAUUAGGGAAGAACAAAUGUGUAAGUAACUAUGCACGUCUUGACGGUACCUAAUCAGAAAGCCACGGCUAACUACGUG
rnacentral:rRNA from 1 species